UACGGAGGAUCCAAGCGUUAUCCGGAUUUAUUGGGCGUAAAGAGCGUGUAGGCGGCCAUACAGGUCAGCUGUGAAAACUCGAGGCUCAACCUCGAGACGUCGGUUGAAACCGUAUGGCUAGAGUCCGGAAGAGGAGAGUGGAAUUCCCGGUGUAGCGGUGAAAUGCGCAGAUAUCGGGAAGAACACCUAUGGCGAAGGCAGCUCUCUGGGACGGUACUGACGCUGAGACGCGAAAGCGUGGGGAGCGAACAGG
rnacentral:rRNA from 1 species